GAUGAAGAACGCAGCGAAAUGCGAUACGUAAUGUGAAUUGCAAAUUCAGUGAAUCAUCGAGUCUUUGAACGCACAUUGCGCCCCCUGGUAUUCCGGGGGGCAUGCCUGUCCGAGCGUCAUUGCUGCCCUCAAGCACGGCUUGUGUGUUGGGCCUCCGUCCUCCUCCCGGGGGACGGGCCCGAAAGGCAGCGGCGGCACCGCAUCCGGUCCUCGAGCGUAUGGGGCUUCGUCACCCGCUCUUGUAGGCCCGGUCGGCGCUUGCCGACACAUCAAUCUUUUUUCCAGGUUGACCUCGGAUCAGGUAGGGAUACCCGCUGAACUUAAGCAUAUCAAUAAGCGGAGGA
rnacentral:misc_RNA from 1 species